rnacentral:rRNA from 1 species
GAUGAACGCUGGCGGCGUGCCUAAUACAUGCAAGUCGAGCGAACAGAUGAGGAGCUUGCUCCUCUUACGUUAGCGGCGGACGGGUGAGUAACACGUGGAUAACCUACCUAUAAGACUGGGAUAACUUCGGGAAACCGGAGCUAAUACCGGAUAAUAUAUUGAACCGCAUGGUUCAAUAGUGAAAGACGGUUUUGCUUUCACUUAUCGAUGGAUCCGCACCGCAUUAGCUAGUUGGUAAGGUAACGGCUUACCAAGGCAACGAUGCGUAGCCGACCUGAGAGGGUGAUCGGCCACACUGGAACUGAGACACGGUCCAGACUCCUACGGGAGGCAGCAAUAGGGAAUCUUCCGCAAUGGGCGAAAGCCUGACGGAGCAACGCCGCGUGAGUGAUGAAGGUCUUCGGAUAGUAAAACUCUGUUAUUAGGGAAGAACAAAUGUGUAAGUAACUAUGCACGUCUUGACGGUACCUAAUCAGAAAGCCACGGCUAACUACGUG